UUCAGGCUCAGGCUUGAGUCUCAAAGAAGCAUGCUUUAUUCUAACAUUUUUGCAAAAGUGGGUGUCCUAAUGGGUAGGCACAUCAUAACAAAAAAUCAGCAAAUACUUAUACCCUAUCACUAACCACAAUUCCCUCCUCAGCUCCCCAAACCGGGUUAUUGCCUAUCCAGGAUUGAGUUUUCAAUUUAUCUCCUUUUAAGGCAUCCCCUUGAGAAGGUUCUGCUGUAAGACACCCCGGCUUUAAUCUCCAAGGUUGCAGAGUGUCAACAUUACAAGGUUUGUGACCCACAACUCCCCUGAAGUUACUGGUUUCCCAAUUGUUGCUCAACCCUUGUCACAUAGGCCUAGCUAUGUUCUGUUACCCAGUCCCUCAUAGCAACAGGCUGCCUAGCAGUUUCUGGAACAACAUAACAUUCCAUAUAUCAGACUUGCAAGCUCUUCCAGUGAGCAUAAACAAAGAAAAUGCCAUUCUUCUUGGAGUGUUUGGGUCGUUACUCUCCGUGAACUAGAACAGCAGAACAGAGAACUACAUGCUCUUCACACAAUUUAUCUUUUCUCUUUGAAUUUCAUCUGGAACAUCUUUGGAAUCUCUUCCCACCUGUUCAAAUGCUUGUUAACAUAGAGAGAAUGCAAAAUUUAGCUUUGUAAGUAUCUUAAUACCCUCCCCUUU
rnacentral:lncRNA from 1 species